UCUUGGUCAUUUAGAGGAAGUAAAAGUCGUAACAAGGUUUCCGUAGGUGAACCUGCGGAAGGAUCAUUAUCGUAACAACCCAGAGGCACGAGGGCUGUCUGCUGACCCGUCAAAGGGUCGUGCACGCCCUUCGGCGUCCUCGCCACAAUCCACCUCACCUUUGUGCAUCACCGCGUGGGCCCCUCGAAAUAAAAGGGGGGCUUGCGUUUUUUUCAUACACACGUCGUAUUAGAGUGUUCUUGCAUUUCUUUGCAAAUCAAUACAACUUUCAACAACGGAUCUCUUGGCUCUCGCAUCGAUGAAGAACGCAGCGAAAUGCGAUACGUAAUGUGAAUUGCAGAAUUCAGUGAAUCAUCGAAUCUUUGAACGCAUCUUGCGCCCCUUGGCAUUCCGAGGGGCACACCCGUUUGAGUGUCGUGAAAUCCUCAACCUUUUCUUUGUUGGAUCGAAGAAAAAGGCUUGGACUUUGGAGGCCUUUGCCGACGCCCUUCUGUUGUGGGGUCGGCUCCUCUUAAAUGUAUUAGUGGGAUCCCCUUUGCCGAUCCUCGACGUGAUAAGCUCUUUUCUUUGACGUCGCAUUGGGAGAGGUGGAGAGACCUGCUUCACACAAUGAUCGUUGAAACCCUUUUGACCUCAAAUCGGGUGAGACUACCCGCUGAACUUAAGCAUAUCAAUAAGCGGAGGAAAAGAAACUAACAAGGAUUCCCCUAGUAACUGCGAGUGAAGCGGGAAAAGCUCAAAUUUAAAAUCUGAUGGCCUUUGGUCAUUCGAGUUGUAAUUUAGAGAAGCGUCUUCCGCGCUGGACCGUGUA
rnacentral:rRNA from 1 species